rnacentral:snRNA from 1 species
GGAUGUGAGGGCAGUCUGGCUGCAACAUCUCUCACCCCCAUUGACCCAUUGAAAGCCAUGAUUGAUUUGGCUGAUCUAGAUGUGUAGAAAGUUGUCUCCUUCCUCUGUCAGUGCUCCAUGUGCCUCCCUCCCAAAGCUGUGUGCUCGGUUGAAGAGGUGACCUUCUCUGAAUAGAGGAGGACUGUUCUUCAGUCAAGGGUAUAUGAGUAGCUGUGCUCCCCUGCUAGAAACUCCAAACAAGCUCUCAAGGUAUUUUUGUUGUUGUUGUUGCUAUUGAACAUGGGACAUUGUUGCUAAUUUCUUUCUCUUU